rfam:Microsporum canis CBS 113480 supercont1.1 genomic scaffold, whole genome shotgun sequence.
UCCUUAGUGGUGUAGAGGUAACAUAGCUCUCUUUCACAGAGCCGCCCGGGGUUCGAUUCCCCGCUAGGGAG